CGAUGAUGUUGCUGGGGAAGCGGGGUGCAGGCCCUGGAAGACGAGGGAGGAGCCUGUGAGCCACCGGCCCACGUGAAAGUAAAUGCAUGAAGUUCCCUCUCACUGAACUGAAAAGAGCCUCAACCUGGACCUGACACCAACUUCGCCGGUGCUGCCUGGCUGGUUGCUCUAGCGCCCUGAAGGAGAGGAAUGCAGUCAUAUUUCACUGUGAUUUUCAGUGUCAUUUCCACGAAGACUAAUGAUGUUGAGCUUUUUUUUCUCCAUAAUACAGAGAGAUCUUGACUGAGACAGACACACCCCAAGUGUGCAGCAUUUGAGGCGCUCCGAGACCCUCAUGAGCUUGGGUCCUCCAUGGCUGCCUCGCCACUAUAUGAGAUAGAGUCUUGCUAUGUUGUCCAGGCUGGCACUGAACUCUUGGGCUCCAACGAUCCUCCUGCCCCGGCCUCCUGAGUAGCUGGGAUUAUAGGCACAAGUCACCAUGCCCAGCCGGAAUAAUCUGAAGGAAAGAUGGGUAUAUUCAAGAUGACUUUGCUGCUGGAAAUAUGACAGAAUAAUGUGGUAUCUUCCUCUGCACUUCCAAGCUCUUUCACACUCAGGCUCCUCCUGGCUUUUCUGCCUCAGACACCAUAAACUGUGGUUGCUUCUCCAGCUCUGUUACAGUUCAGACUUGAGGGGAGGUGACAAGAGCUAACAUGUUACCAUGGGGAGCCUGGCUGACAUUUCCGAAACUGAAGACUCUAUGGAAGCCUCAUGCUAUUGCAAUGUGUACAUCAAAAGUAAAGUACCCCAGGUUAAAACUAUGAGGAAGUUGCCAUCUUUACUUCCAGGAGCAAAGACACUGAAACUGUCCCCUGUAAGCCCCUUAAUUUCAUACAGUCCUCUGACUGCCCCCCCCCCCCAACCCUGGCUACUUUUUUUUGAAAUAAGGUCUCACUCUGUCAUCCAGGCUGGAGUGCAGUGGCAAAAUCACAAUACCCUGCAGCCUUGACCUCAUGGGCUCAAGCAGUCCUCCCACUUCAGCCUCCUGGGUAGCUGGGACUACAGGCUUGCACUACCACACCCAGCUUAUUUUUUGUAGAGACAGAGUUUCGUCAUGUUGCCCAGGCUGGUCUCAGGAGUCACUCCUGAGCUCAAGUGAUCCGCCUGCCUUGGCCUCCCAAAGUGCUGGGAUUACAGGCGUGAGCCACUAUGUCUGGUCCUCUGACCCUUUUAGCAGGAAAUCCAGCCCAGCCCCUGAACGGCAUGUUAGACAGUUCAACAAAGCCUUCUAGAAGACCAAAGAAGACUCAUAGGAAUAAGCCUCUUGCUGAUUAAUGGAAACAUGACCAUUUGUGGAGAAAGUGCAAUCUGCAUUGAACACCUUUAGGGGAACCUGUCAUUUAAGACUUCAAGCAUUACCAUGAAAACUUCCUCUGAAAAACCUUACAGACAUCUCUGUAAAACAGAUUUAAAAAGAAACACAUUUCUGCUCAAUUGGUACACAUCAAAUGGUGAUUUAAGAGCAAGGCUAGGAAACCAGAAGAUGAUAUGCAUAUACAUAAAGUUGCCACUAUUCCAAAUAGUAAAAUAAAGACAAAGUCAAUGGUCCUAGAAGAGCUGGUGGGUUGUGGAGCCAGGAGAGAAAGGCAGCUCCCUUCACCUUCCCUGUACAUUCCAGGAGGCCCUAGAAUGACCUAGAUGGUGUUACGCACAAAGCCCUCCUUUUCCCAUCCCGCCAUCAUCUCAGGAGCAAAUGGCCACACUCGGGUAUACGGAGCAGCUCAAGCAACCAGGUCUUCCCGCCAUUCCCCUGAAAGGGCUGGUUUUGCCAAACGCCAGAGCCACAUUG
rnacentral:lncRNA from 1 species